rnacentral:rRNA from 1 species
GACGAACGCUGGCGGCGUGCUUAACACAUGCAAGUUGAACGGUGAAGCGCCUUCCUUUUUGGUGGGUGUGGAUGAGUGGCGAACGGGUGAGUAACACGUGAGUAACCUGCCCCCUUCUUCUGGAUAACCGCAUGAAAGUGUGGCUAAUACGGGAUAUUCUGGGUCUGUCGCAUGAUGGGUCUGGGAAAGAUAUUGUUUCGGUGGGGGAUGGGCUCGCGGCCUAUCAGCUUGUUGGUGGGGUGAUGGCCUACCAAGGCGGUGACGGGUAGCCGGCCUGAGAGGGGGAAGGGCAAAACGGGGACGGGGACACGGCCCAGACUACUACGGGGGGAAGCAGUGGGGAAAAUGGAACAAGGGGCGAAAGCCUGAGGAAGCGAGGCCGCGUGAGGGAUGGAGGCCUUCGGGUUGUGAACCUCUUUCGCCAGUGAAGAAGGCUGCCUCGUUUGUGGGUGGGUUGACGGUAGCUGGAUAAGAAGCGCCGGCUAACUACGUG